rnacentral:rRNA from 1 species
GACGAACGCUGGCGGCGUGCUUAACACAUGCAAGUCGAACGGAAAGGCCCUGCUUUUGUGGGGUGCUCGAGUGGCGAACGGGUGAGUAACACGUGAGUAACCUGCCCUUGACUUUGGGAUAACUUCAGGAAACUGGGGCUAAUACCGGAUAGGAGCUCCUGCUGCAUGGUGGGGGUUGGAAAGUUUCGGCGGUUGGGGAUGGACUCGCGGCUUAUCAGCUUGUUGGUGGGGUAGUGGCUUACCAAGGCUUUGACGGGUAGCCGGCCUGAGAGGGUGACCGGCCACAUUGGGACUGAGAUACGGCCCAGACUCCUACGGGAGGCAGCAGUGGGGAAUAUUGCACAAUAGGCGGAAGCCUGAUGCAGCAACGCCGCGUGCGGGAUGAAGGCCUUCGGGUUGUAAACCGCUUUCGCCUGUGACGAAGCGUGAGUGACGGUAAUGGGUAAAGAGGCACCGGCUAACUACGUG